GUGAGGAAUAUUGCGCAAUGGAGGCAACUCUGACGCAGCCAUGCCGCGUGCAGGAAGAAGGCGCUACGCGUUGUAAACUGCUUUUAACCGGGAAGAAACCCCAGGACGUGUCCUGGGUUGACGGUACCGGAGGAAUAAGCACCGGCUAACUUCGUGCCAGCAGCCGCGGUAAUACGAAGGGUGCAAGCGUUAUCCGGAUUCAUUGGGUUUAAAGGGUGCGUAGGCGGAGCGUUAAGUCAGUGGUGAAAUCCUGCAGCUUAACUGUAGACUUGCCAUUGAUACUGGCGCUCUUGAGUGCGCUUGAAGUGGGCGGAAUGUGCCGUGUAGCGGUGAAAUGCUUAGAUAUGGCACAGAACACCAAUUGCGAAGUCAGCUCACUAAGGCGAUACUGACGCUGAGGCACGAAAGCGUGGGGAUCGAACAGGAUUAGAUACCCCUGUAGUCC
rnacentral:rRNA from 1 species